GACGAACGCUGGCGGCGUGCCUAACACAUGCAAGUCAACUUGACUGAAGGAGCAAUCUGACAGUAGAGUGGCGCAAGGGUGCGUAACGCGUAAGUAACUUGCCCAAGGUAAGGAAUAACGUCGAGAAAUCGGCGCUAAUACCUCGUAAUGCAGCGGAUCCGCAUGGAUAUGUUGUUAAAGGUUUACCGCCUUGGGAUAGGCUUGCGUCUGAUUAGCUAGUUGGUGUGGUAACGGCACACCAAGGCUACGAUCAGUAACUGGUCUGAGAGGAUGAUCAGUCACACUGGAACUGAGACACGGUCCAGACUCCUACGGGAGGCAGCAGUGAGGAAUAUUGGGCAAUGCUCGAAAGAGUGACCCAGCAACGCCGCGUGGAGGAUGAAGGUAUUCUAUAUCGUAAACUCCUGUGAGAGCAGACGAAAGACAGAUUAUUAAUCUGAUGACUGUAUGCUCAG
rnacentral:rRNA from 1 species